AGUGAACGCUGGCGGUAGGCCUAACACAUGCAAGUCGAACGGCAGCACAGUAAGAGCUUGCUCUUACGGGUGGCGAGUGGCGGACGGGUGAGGAAUACAUCGGAAUCUACUUUUUCGUGGGGGAUAACGUAGGGAAACUUACGCUAAUACCGCAUACGACCUACGGGUGAAAGCAGGGGAUCUUCGGACCUUGCGCGAUUGAAUGAGCCGAUGUCGGAUUAGCUAGUUGGCGGGGUAAAGGCCCACCAAGGCGACGAUCCGUAGCUGGUCUGAGAGGAUGGUCAGCCACCUGGGAGGUGGGCCACGGUCCAUACUCCUACGGGAGGCACCAGUGGCGAACAUUGGACAGAGGGCGCAAGCCUUGUCCAGUCAUCCGGCGCGUGUGGAGAAGGCCUCCCGGUUGUAAAGCCCUCCUGCUGGGAAAGAACCGCAGCCGCUUAAUACCAAGCUGUUCUGACGGUACCCAAAGAAUAAGCACCGGCUAACUUCGUG
rnacentral:rRNA from 1 species